rfam:Salmo salar isolate Sally breed double haploid chromosome ssa13, whole genome shotgun sequence.
UGAAUGCACUGACUGUAAGUCGCUCUGGAUAAGAGCGUCUGCUGAAUGACCAAAA